rnacentral:rRNA from 1 species
UACGGGGGGAGCAAGCGUUGUUCGGAUUUACUGGGCGUAAAGGGCGCGUAGGCGGCCAGCACAAGUCAGUUGUGAAAUCUCCGAGCUUAACUCGGAAAGGUCAACUGAUACUGUGCGGCUAGCGUGCGGAAGGGGCAACUGGAAUUCUUGGUGUAGCGGUGAAAUGCGUAGAUAUCAAGAGGAACACCUGCGGCGAAGGCGGCCAGCUGGGCCAGGUCCGACACUGAGGCGCGAAAGCGUGGGGAGCAAACAGG